AACGAAUUUGGUUCUGGUUUUUAUUUUUGAAGACUUAAAGAAUUAUACAUGCUAGCUAUAAAGCGUCCCGGUGAGGAUCCGAGAAAACUAGGAAACAAAUUAAACAAAAUUUUCUUUAUGAGGCGGAAGAAUGACCAAUCUAUAAAAGAGGUAUUAUGACUAUUAAAUAGCACCACAUCUGCAGUAAUAAAUAUUUAACCCUGUCCGAAAAGACGAUUAAAUCAUAUAGGAGAGAAACUGGCGAAGAUACCGUGCCAGCAGCCGCGGUUAAACGGACGGUUUCUUCAAUAUUUUAAGUAGCUUAAUACAGAAAUCCAAUAUAAAAGAACGGUUAGGAAUAAAGAUUUAAUGUGGUAAUUAAUUUUAUUUCGAGCUUUCUAUGGCCGGAGUGUCUGUUAAGGUAAGGAGGAAGACCGGGUUUUGAUAUCCCGUUAUCCCUUAAAUAAAAAGUUAAUGCUGGUGGAGUACGAAGAAUAUCUUUGAGAAACAAAGAACUUGGCGGUGAUUUAAUUCUAAUCAGGGGAGCCUGUUUGAAUAAAAUGAUAAUCCACGUUACACCUUACCUUCUCUAGAAAAUUCAGUUUCUAUAUCAUCGUCAUUAAGCUUUCAUUGUGAACUAGAAGGCUAGAAAACUAUUGAGUCAGAUGUCAGAUCGAGAUGGAGCUAAUGAGAAGGAGAUGAUGGGCUACAAUAUAAUAUUUUCUAAUAAUUUAUAAUUUAGAAUAAAACCUUAUUUGAAAAUAAUUAGUUGAAAGUGGACUUGAUAGUAAUAAAGAAAGAGAAAAGCUUUAUGAAGUUAGCUCUAAAUUGCGUACACAUCGCCCGUCACCUGCGGGGUAAAACCUGGAGUAAGUCGUAACAAAGUAGGCAUACCGGAAGGUGUGGCCUGGCCUA
rnacentral:ncRNA from 1 species